GACACUUUGGCCGAGUGGUUAAGGCGCCGGCCUGCUAAGCCGGUGGGCUCUGCCCGCGUGGGUUCGAACCCCACAGGUGUCG
rnacentral:tRNA from 1 species